rfam:Picea glauca, whole genome shotgun sequence.
GGGUGCACUCAUACCAGCGUUAAUGGACCGUAUCCCAUCAGAACUCCGCAGUUAAGCGCGCUUGGGCUAGAGUAGUACUUGAAUGGGUGACCUCUCGGGAAGACCUAGUGUUGCACCCU